GAAAACCACGUCUUGUAGCCAUGCGAUAAUAGCUCAGCUUGCAUGAGACAUGGGGGCCAAAAAACCUGGCCCCAGGGAGCCAGAGUGCGGCCACCUGGUCUGCUCUGAGAAGGACUGUGGCCAGAGGAGAGGGCCUGGAUGCCUUGCACCAGAAAUGAGGGAGAGAGAGAACCAAGGGGAUGUGGAAGCCUUCAGAUGGGUCUGGGGACAUGUGCUGGGUGGGACACCCCCAUUCCACACUCAGUGCUAAUGCCUUACACCCACUACCUCUGGGCAGCUAAGUGAGGUAGCCCUUCUUAUGCCUCUCCUCUCCAGUGAGUGGGUCCUACAACCAGUGCUUGAGAGCACGGCCUCGGGACCAGAGCACCUGCCUUUCCAUCCAGUCCCUGCUUCUCAUGAGGAAGGUGUCCUUGGGGAGAGAAAAUCUUUUUCUGUCUGGUGUUUUUCAAAAUUUUGAUGAUGGACUCACAUCAAGGAUGAAGAGCUUUGAUGUCAUUUGAACACCACCACCAUCACCACCACCAGCAUCAACAAACAAACAAGCAAACAAGCGUGAACUCAGGAGCCCUGUGGCCCAGCCUCCAGUCCAUUUCCUCACUGUGAUCUGGCUAAGUCACCUCCCCUCCACCUCAGUUCAGUCACCUACACAACAGGAAUGGUGGCUCCUGGCGUGAAAAGUUCUUAGGAGCAUUCAGCAUGAUGCUGUGUGGAGCACUUGGAAACUGCGUGUGCAUCACCUCAUAUUUCUGGCCACAGGUCAUUCAGACAUCUGCCCUUUGCCCUGGAGGAGAACCACUAGGGACUUGUGCCCAUAAGCACCAAUUCUGGCUUUUACCCUACCCAUCCUUUGCCAUCCCAAACUAUGCCAUCAACAAAUUCUAGAAAUCAAGUUAGAAAUGCUGUUCCCACGAGGGUCUCUGUGGUCUCUCAGAACAACAAUCAGCUGGCCCUGCUGGGCAGAUGUUGCCCAAUCCUAACCCACACUUAGCUAUCAACUUAAUCAUUCUCAACUAAAAACACCUACCUGAACACUUUUAGGGGUUAAGAAUAGUAUAAUCUCACUUAGCCAUUUGCAUUUUUUCUUCUUUUUACAAAAAGAAAUUUAUCUUUUUUUUUUUUUGAGACGGAGUCUUGCUCUGUUGCCCAGGUUGGAGUGCAGUGGCGCAAUCUUGGCUCACUGCAAGCUCCGCCUCCUGGGUUAGCGCCAUUCUCCUGCCUCAGCCUCCCGAGUAGCUGGGACUACAGGUGCCUGCCACCACGCCUGGCUAAUUUUUUUGUAUUUUUAGUAGAGACGGGGUUUCACCGUGUUAGUCAGGAUCGUCUUGAUCUCCUGACAUCGUGAUUCGCCCUCCUCAGCCUCCCAAAGUGCUGGGAUUACAGGCGUGAGCCACUGCGCUCUGCCAAGAAUAGUAUAAUCUCACUUAGCCAUUUGUAUUUUUUCUUCUUUUUACAAAAAGAAAUUUAUCUCAUUAUUAUGUUUAAUCAGUUUCUUGAGGUAUAACUUAAGUGUGCUAAAAUUUGCUCUUUUUAGUGUACAGGUCUAGGAUUUUUGAGAAACACAUAUUCAUAUGUGACCACCCCCAUGAUCAACAUAUGGAACAGUCAUUUGCCACCCAAAAUUACCUUGUGCCCUUUUGUUGUCAGACUCUUCUUUCUCCAGACCCUGGCAACCACUGAUGGAUUUUCUGUCCCUAUAGUUUUGCCUUUUCCAGAAUGUUCUGCAAAUGUAAUCAUUUAGUAUGUAGCCUUUUAAGUCUGAUUUCUUUCACUCUGCAUAAUGCAUUUGAGAUUCACCCACGUUGUUACCUGUUACAAUGGUUUGUUCCUUUUUAUUGCGGAGUAAUAUUCCCUUGCAUGGAUGUACCACAGUUUGGGUAACCAUUCAACAGUCAAAUGAGAUUGAAUUUGUUUCCAUUUUUUGGUGAUUAUAAAUACAGCUAUAAACAUUUGUGAAAGUGUUUUGUAUGUACAUACAUUUUUCUUAGACAUUUGGUUUUAAGAGAUGUAUUUAGGUUUAGUUCCAGAUGAACAAUGAGAGACUGAAAGACUUAAGGGACCCCUGAGAAGAGCAGAGGGAAUAUUCCCUGAGGCAGCCAUCAGUCAGACCUGGCCCUGUCAUUUAAAUGUGGGCUAGUGGUAGCAAGAUGCUGUUAUUAUUUUCACCAAGGACAUUUUUUGAGUAGCAAUUAAAAUGAAGUCUAUUUCUCUGAGCCCCUGGAGAAGAACAUAAGCACAUGAUGGUAACCAUCAAUUUAGUGGGCCUAACGUUAUCUAGGUGGUUAAUGUUUCCAUGGCUUCUGGCAAUUCCCAGUGUAAGUCACCUGUGUAUACUGGGUGGAUGCUUCUUUAAAUUAAAGAUAAGCUGUUCAGCUUAAUAACAGCUAAGGGAGAAUAUAGAGCCCGUGGGUGAACUGUUUACUAACAAGCUUCUUCAGGGUCAUUCAACUUGAAUGAACUCUCUUUUAGGCUAACUUGGUUUGUGGAGGGAAUGCAUGUUUCUUAGUUAAAAUAGUUACAUUGGAAUCCCAACUGUGCACAGGACUUCAAGGGUAAUUAUGAACCCCCACUGCAGAUUUCAGGCUUAGCACCAAUUCUCCUUGCUUUCUACUUGUAUCCAUCAAAAACAGAAGUUACGAUGGAGUUACAGCUAUACUUGUAAGGGUCUCAGUGAACCUCUCCCACUAUUCUGCCUUAUCACCUUUGGGUUCCUGUGUUCUCUACCCCCUCCCCACUGCAUGUUUUCAUUCAGCCAGGAAACAUUUACUGCCUGCCUGGUAUCAAGCCCUUGCAUGAGGGUGGGAGCUCAUAAAGAUGACUACACUAGAGAAUCAUUUGACCUUUCUCAUGUAGACCUCAACAUGAAUGAGUUUCAAUGCUGAUAGGGCAAUCAUUACCUUCAGACAAAUUUUCAGGAACAGCCAAGACUAGAGAAUGUAUGGCUAAAACACAGCACUAUGCAUUUAUAAUAGUCAUGGGUUCUCCUGUUUUAAUUGUACAUGGAGAAUAUUUCAGCUUUAUUUGUAUGGGCUGCUCUUAUGUAAAACAUUAUUUCAAUGAGGAAAUGUGUUUGGGGUUCUAAAUGACUAACUUACAAACACAACUUUGAAUAAAGUCCAUGAAUAAUUUGAGGAUUUAUGUCUAUCAAUGGCUGAUUUACCAGAUUGUUGGCUUUGGGUUUAUUGGUAUCCAUGUUGAGAGGCAUCAGAUCAUCCAAGGUUUAAGUUUCGUCCUGACCACUGACUAGCAUUGAGACCUUAAUGGGAUUAAUAACAAUGAUAAUGAUAGUGACAAGAGCUAGCUUUUCAUGAGCACAGUGGCUAAGAGAGUUAGCAUCAGUUCUAGCUGCUUUCAUUGACAUAGAUGUAAAUGGGGAGGGAAACCAUGACUAGACUCAAAUCUCUGCUCUAACGUCUGAUACCUGAAUAUCACUUUGCAAGCCACGUCAUCUCUCUAAGUUGUAGCUCUUUGUCUGAAAAAUGUGGAUAGUUAAUACAUUAUAAAUAAAUUAUUAUUACAUUAAUACACAGAAAUUCAUAAUGCUAUUGUGGGGAUUACAUGAGAUGAUGGAAGUAUUUAAUCUAGUGUCUUGUAUAUGGCAAAUAAAAAAUAAAUAUUCACUGCUGUUAAU
rnacentral:lncRNA from 10 species